CAAGCGUUGUCCGGAUUUAUUGGGCGUAAAGAGCUCGUAGGCGGCUUGGCAAGUCGGGUGUGAAACCUCCAGGCUCAACCUGGAGACGCCACUCGAUACUGCCAUGGCUAGAGUCCGGUAGGGGACCACGGAAUUCCUGGUGUAGCGGUGAAAUGCGCAGAUAUCAGGAGGAACACCGGUGGCGAAGGCGGUGGUCUGGGCCGGCACUGACGCUGAGGAGCGAAAGCGUGGGUAGCAAACAGG
rnacentral:rRNA from 1 species